rnacentral:rRNA from 1 species
UGGGGAAUAUUGGACAAUGGGCGAAAGCCUGAUCCAGCCAUGCCGCGUGUGUGAAGAAGGCCUUAUGGUUGUAAAGCACUUUAAGCGAGGAGGAGGGUACUGGUAUUAAUACUACCAGGUACUGGACGUUACUCGCAGAAUAAGCACCGGCUAACUCUGUGCCAGCAGCCGCGGUAAUACAGAGGGUGCGAGCGUUAAUCGGAUUUACUGGGCGUAAAGCGUGCGUAGGCGGCUAAUUGAGUCGGAUGUGAAAUCCCCGAGCUUAACUUGGGAAUUGCAUUCGAUACUGGUUAGCUAGAGUGUGGGAGAGGAUGGUAGAAUUCCAGGUGUAGCGGUGAAAUGCGUAGAGAUCUGGAGGAAUACCGAUGGCGAAGGCAGCCAUCUGGCCUAACACUGACGCUGAGGGACGAAAGCAUGGGGAGCAAACAGGA